rnacentral:rRNA from 17 species
GUUUAGGCCAUGGAAGUUUGAGGCAAUAACAGGUCUGUGAUGCCCUUAGAUGUUCUGGGCCGCACGCGCGCUACACUGACUGGUGCAACAAGUUUAUAACCUUGGUCGAUGGGCCUGGGUAAUCUUUGAACGCCAGUCGUGAUGGGGAUAGAUUAUUGCAAUUAUUAAUCUUCAACGAGGAAUUCCUAGUAAACGCAAGUCAUCAGCUUGCAUUGAUUACGUCCCUGCCCUUUGUACACACCGCCCGUCGCACCUACCGAUUGAAUGGUCCGGUGAAGCCUCGGGAUUGUGGUGAGUUCCCUUUAUUGGGAGUUCAUCGCGAGAACUUGUCUAAACCUUAUCAUUUAGAGGAAGGUGAAGUCGUAACAAGGUUUCCGUAGGUGAACCUGCGGAAGGAUCAUU